AUAUAUAUAUAUAUUACUAUCCUCCUCAUUUCAUCUUUUGGAAGUGGUCCCCCAUAAGGCUAAAAGAUAUUUGUGGGUGGGGGGGGGGAGGGGGUGUCUCUCACCCAACCUUAAAUUCCGCAUAUAUAAUUUUUGGGCAAUGCCCCCACCCCCCCUCCCACCCAACCCCUAAUUCUUUUUAUAGAGGACUUUUUAUCCUUUUUAAUCUCCACCUUCUGCCGUCUUUAUUUUUUCCUUUCCUUUAUUCUUUCACUUUAUUUCUUUCUGUGUCUCUUUUUAUUGCAAUUUUCAUUUGUCGUCAUUUCGUUGCAAAGAGAUUUUGUGGAUUUUUUUUUUUUAGGAAAAAUAUUUAAAAAAAUAUAUGGCCUCCUCCUCCUCCUCCUCCUCCUCCUCCUCCUCCUCCUCCUCCUCCUCCUCCUCCAGGGAGUGUUGUCCAACCCAUGGGGACCCAGUGGGUGUCCUACCCCUGGAUAUAGCAAGGGAUGGGCGCCCCCUCUGUCAUCGUACCUAACCCUUCCCCCUAACCCCCGUCUUUAAGUUACAGACACUGAUAAAAAAAUGAUUUAUUUAUAUAAUAAAUAAAUCAAUUUCAAAUUAUUAAAAUAUAGAUUAUAAUAAUUGAUUAAUAUAUACGAUCAUUAUAAAAUAAUGUUGAAUUAUACGUUAUGUGAGUCAUUAUAUAUAUACAAAUAUAUAUUCUCUCUCUGUCUCUGUCUCUCUCUCUCUCUCUCUCUCUCUCUCUCUCUCAGCUGUUCCUCUUCCUCUACCACGCCAAGGAACCUCUCUCUUUUUUUUCUUCUUUCCUCAUUACGGUUUCCACCUGUCUUGCUCUCAAUAGCUGACCCAACGGAGAAAGUCUCUCUCUUCUCUCUCUCUCUCUCUCUCUCUCUCUCUCUCAGAGCCGGCUGGUUUUCACCAACUUCUCGUUACCGCCUCAGAGUUUAACAACUCGGGUCGUUAAUGGCGCCUUUUUGUUGGGGAGGGGGGUUCCGCCCCUUUUUGUACGUUCCUACGGACGCCUUGGCCUUACGUACGUAAGUACGUCUGUCCUUGUCUGGUUUGUCCGUCCCUAGGCCCGUUUACGAAGCAUUCUAUGCAGGUAUUUGUCAAUAUAGGCCUAUAGAUUUAUAUAUAUGGUGCCACUAGCUGCUCAUCUAAGCCUAAGCAAUGAAUUGUGUAUCCGGUGGUUAGUCGACUGCUGUGUAGGAUUGGAGAUGGAGAAGGGUGUGGGGCUUGCAACCUCUUCCCACUUUACUAAUUAAUACAGCUGUAUAAACUUCUACGAGUGUUUGAGCAUCAUAAAUUCAAAUAUAGGUUGGUUUUAUCACGUGUCAUGUAGGUCAAGGGGUCUCUCUCUCUCUCUCUCUCUCUCUCUCUCUCUCUCUCUCUCUCUCUCUCUGCAAAUUAAAAAAAAACAAUAUGGAGACAUUCUUCAUCAUCAUCAUUCAUUAUAUCAUUAUUACUGUUCCUUCAUGGAAUAGCGAAGAGUGAUUCGCGCAAAAGGGAAAAAAGUUAUUAUAACUGUCACUAUUAUUCUUUUGUCUAGGCCUAGUAGUCUUAAUUGUGUAACUGGCACUGUUACGGAACAGUGGAGCUUCACUUUACCAUGUCAUAUUGAUAUAUUCAUUUCUAAGGAACUCUAUUGUAAGGUAUAAUUUGAUAUAGUUAAUGUAAUUGUCAUUAUUAUUGUUGUUAGUUUGUGUAGGCCUAGAAGGAAUUAUGUAACUGGCACUCACUUCACAAACAGUUCACGGGAGGUUCAAAGCUUUAUUCCCUUUGUUUAUUUGUUUGUUUGUUUGUUUAUAAUCUGCUUCUGUGAGCAGAAAAACUGCUGAUAUUUUUUUCUUUUUAGCAAAUAGCUAUACUUGUUUUCAAAUCCGUCGAAUUAGGACAAAAAACUUAAACAAACACACAAAACAGCAAUGAAUUUGGACCCCUAAACUGUAGGAUUACCUAUAUUUCUAAGGAACUUUAAUCAUAAGGUAUAAUUUAAUCUUCAGUUAAUACCGAAUUGCACUACUAGGUAUGUUUUCAACAGGCUUACCGAGAUGGUGUAUAAGAAAUGGUUUAGUUACCAACUAAACCGUUUUCUUUUAUGUAACAGAGCACGAGAAUUCUAACGCGGUCUCAAAUAAUUUACAAUUCUUCUCUCUCUCUCUCUCUCUCUCUCUCUCUCUCUCUCUCUCUCUCUCUCUCCUCUCUCUCUCUCUCUCUCUCUCUCCUGGGUAAAUCUGUAGUUACGAUAAAAGAUAACAAUCACAGUUAUUGGCAAAGUAUUUGUGGGCCUAUUUAGAGAGAUCUUGUUCGCAGUGAGACUUUUCUCUCGAAUGACAGUUUCACAGUAAUCAUGUAAUGUAGAAUCGAAAUGCAUCACUUUGAUUUGUGUUCAAAUUUUUACUUAUAAAUGCUUACAGGUUAUGUUUCUAGUCUUGCAAGGGGCAAUGGUACGUCAACGAAGCGGAAAUCAGUCCAAUAUUGAAAGCACUGCUUUUGACUUAAUCAAGAAAUCGAGAGAAAAUGGACCCCUUUUGACAAGAAGUUUUCUUUGGAGUUUCAAGUGUAGGAUGAAAUGGGCUGUUGUCAUUAGCCUAUAACAAGAUGCUAUACAAAGCCUUCAGCCAAUGGAAGAAGUGGUUAUUCAGCAACGGGGCCAACGGCUUGACGUGACUUCCGAAACCACGUCGAGAGUGAACUUCUAUCACGAGAGAAAUACACAUCUCUCACUCCUCAAUGGAAUGGCCGAGAAUCGAACCCGCGACCACCGAGGUGGGACCCCAACACCAUAACAACCACGCCACUGAAGCGUGUUCACAAGAUAUGUGUCAAACGGUGUAAACUUAAGAUCUUCGAAAGAGUGUUGCUUUUAAAUAAGUAAUGAUAUUUAGUGAAUUCUUUUAUCCAGUAAUCAACUCUAGCCUCCCCUUCUAUUAGUAAUUUGACAGCAAUUAUAUAUUUUCCAGUAUAUUAAAUCAUGGUUGUCAUAAGUAAUGUUCCUGAUACAACCUAUUUUAUACAACCAUGACUGGUAACUGAACGUACUUUAAUUCGUAAAUCUAACAUUUGAAAGACUUUCAUUUACGUAAAACCAAACCAUAUAAAAAUCCACCUGUUUUCUGCAACGUAUUUCACAUAUUUCAAUUUGUAAUUUUGACAGCCGAGUUUUCCAAAGGUUACAAAAAUUUCCAAUCAGUUUAUGAGUUCCAUAAACUUCAGUGUUUUAUGUUAGUGUUAUAGAUUGACUGAAUAAGCUGCAUUUUCUACGUUCGUAUCAGAACUAACUUUCGUCGUUUUUACAGAUAUGCAGGAGACUGAGAACCAUUGGAACCCAAAGUAAAUUAUACUGCCUCUAAAUUGGAGUACAUUGACCACUGGAUUCAGUUAAAAGGUACAUCUUUCAGUAACUGAAAGGCUGUAGGGGUCUGUAGGGGUAUAUACAAAGGCGUCAACCCUGAAGAAAGGUAUUUGAAAGAUAUGCUACAAAGAUCUACUUGAGAGCACUUUGCCUGUGACUAAACGUUUGCUACAAAAGUCUGUGGAAGACAAGUUGCUUUGAAGAUUUGUGCAAGGGAAGCUCCUGAGAGAAUAGUUUUUUUUACCACAAGAAAUGCUAUGAAGGUUUGUGUAAAAGAAACAAAGGCAAGCUGCCAUAGUGCAAGGGAAGACCUAAAUCAAAACUGCUGUAAAGCUCUGCUUCAUUUUUUAUUUAGGUCUUGCCUUACACAUCAUGGUAGUUUUACCUUUAGAGAUAUGUCUUGCACAGACCCUCGUAAUGUAUCUUGUGGCCAAUGUUCUCUCUAGCAUUAAUCUCAGAACAAUUUACUGUUCUCAGAAUCUUCCCUUGCCCUAUCUUCUUUGACUUGUACUUAAAUGAAAAUUAGUCAGUUGUUUAGGAUUUUUUCAUUUUGCCUGUUGUUUAGGACUUUCUGAGUUGAGAAACACCAGAGCAAGCAAUGAAUGUUUCAGAUAACGAAGAAAUAAGACACCUGUACUGAGAGUAUAAAUAAAAGAACGGAUGUUA